rnacentral:rRNA from 1 species
GACGAACGCUGGCGGCGUGCUUAACACAUGCAAGUCGAACGGAAAGGCCUCUUUCGGGGGGUACUCGAGUGGCGAACGGGUGAGUAACACGUGAGUAACCUGCCCUUGACUUUGGGAUAACUUCAGGAAACUGGGGCUAAUACCGGAUAGGAGCUCCUGCUGCAUGGUGGGGGUUGGAAAGUUUCGGCGGUUGGGGAUGGACUCGCGGCUUAUCAGCUUGUUGGUGGGGUAGUGGCUUACCAAGGCUUUGACGGGUAGCCGGACUGAGAGGGUGACCGGCCACAUUGGGACUGAGAUACGGCCCAGACUCCGACGGGAGGCAGCAGUGGGGAAUAUUGCACAAUGGGUGGAAGCCGGAUGCAGCAACGCCGUGUGCGGGAAGACGGCCUUCGGGUUGUAAACCGCUUUCGCUCAUGACGAAGCUUUGUGUGACGGUAGUGGGUAAAGAAGCACCGGCUAACUACGUG